rnacentral:rRNA from 1 species
GUCAUGAGUUGAUUCUGGCGCUUCAUAGCUAACGAGGAGCUUCGAGAUAUGUAUCUGCACGGGCGCUGCUACACUUGGUCCAAUGAGCAUGAUACGCCAACCAUCAUGUGGAAUGAUAGGAUCCUUUGCACGUCCGGAUGGGAGAUCACCCACCCGCAUUGCCUGCUGCACUGUCUCUCAUUUGUAGCGUCUGACCACUGCCCGUUGGUUUUUAAUUGCACUGCUCGCCCCACGGGGGCAUGCAGAUUCCACUUCGAGCGCUUCUGGCCGAAGCUUGAUGGCUUCCACAACACGGUCUCAGAAGCCUGGAACUCAACUCCCCCGGAGGCGUACCCCUUCCGGUGUAUUGUGGCCCGCCUUAAGGCCACCGCGUGA